rnacentral:rRNA from 1 species
GACGAACGCUGGCGGCGUGCCUAAUACAUGCAAGUCGAACGAGAGCGACCGAUGCUUGCGCUGGUCUCUCUAGUGGCGCACGGGUGAGUAACACGUGGGUACCCUGCCCAUCAGAGGGGGAUAACAUUCGGAAACGGAUGCUAAAACCGCAUAGGUCUUCGAACCGCAUGGUUUGAAGAGGAAAAGAGGCGCAAGCUUCUGCUGCUGGAUGGACCCGCGGUGCAUUAGCUAGUUGGUGAGGUAACGGCUCACCAAGUCCGCGAUGCAUAGCCGACCUGAGAGGGUGAUCGGCCACAUUGGGACUGAGACACGGACCAAGCUCCUACGAGAGGCAGCAGUAGGGAAUCGUCCGCAGUAGACGCAAGUCUGACGGAACGACGCCGCGUGAGUGAAGAAGGUGUUCGGAUCGUAAAACUCUGUUGUUAGAGAAGAAUAAGUGCUAGAGUAACUGUUAGCGCCGUGACGGUAUCUAACCAGAAAGCCACGGCUAACUACGUG